GGAGAGCGUGGUUACACGUUCGAUAGUUGUCUACUUCGCUGAUUACUAUUUGGAAGGAUGACUUCUCUACCUUCAGUUUGAAAGUUUCCUUUUUCUAACUUAAGCCAUUGACCACGGGUUCUACUGUCCGUGGCAAGAACAAAAUUAUGUCUUAUCGCAGGGUUGGGCGUAGUAGAGGAUUUGUAGGUAAGAAUUACAUUUUCUAUGAUUCUCCUCUCUUCUAGCGGCUGUAAUUUCAUUAAAUGAAGCAUGGUGUCGUAUGACGGUCUAUGGAAUCCCAAAGGGAUAUCACACACAGUUUGCAAAUUCCAAAUGAGAACGGAUGAAUGUGUUGAGUAGUUUAGUAACUGAUGUUGUGGAUGCCUUAGUGAAAGAUUUCCUACUACAAAAUUUGCGUUUUUGACUACGUUGCCAAUAUGAAGAGAUCAUGAUAACUCGGAUGUUAAGGCAACCCUUAAGUCCUUGUGAGAUUCUAGGCUUUGUACUGUUGUCUGAUUGUCGACAAAAUUUUUACAUCGUCGGCCCAGAUCACAAAGGUUGAUUGUACAUUACUAACCAAAACGAGUGUAUAAGCAAUGAAGAGGAGAGGUCCUAAUACCUAUCCUUGUGGGAAGCAGCUUAGAACAGACCGUUUGCUACGGAAUUUGUCAAAUAUGUUAACUAAAAAAAAUUGUCAUUGAGGAAUGAUCUGUUCCACUUCAGCAAUGAACCUCCAAUGCCCUAGAAAUCAAAAUAUACGCGGUCGAUAGGAGAACUGUUACCCAAAUUCCUGGACGAGUCUCUAAUACGACAGACAAAAUUGGUCUUUACCGAUUUACCAAAAAGGAAACCGUGUUGAUGUUCAGCAUAUUAUCGACAAUUCCAUCGUUUUUACUGCAAGUGACGUUAAACUAAUUGCACCAGAGUUAGUCCCAUUUAAUUUAUCACCUUUCUUAAACUUUGUAAUACGGCCACUUUCCAGUUAGAUAAUUCACUAGUAUUGAAAUAUUCUUACACAAGCAUGCUUAAUGAUUUUGUCUGAGCACAAGCACAGUUAACUAAAAUUGCCGAAUCUGUCCUAUCUGGAUCCGGCGACACAGUUUUCCUCAGUUUCGUUAGUGUGCUGAAUACAAGAUCUUCUGUAAACCUUAAAUCCAAGAUCACUAACUGACAUCUUGUCGUGUUGAAUCUAGAAGGUACAAAAGGAGGUUUUCUCCUGUGUACAUUUCUUGAAAAAUGUCAGCUAUUGUUUUUGCUACUUCAAGGUUGUUAGUUAAAAUGAAGCCAUAUCUAUGCCGGAGUUGGGGUUUAUUGACAGGGUUCCCGAAACUGUCACGUGUAUCAAUAUAUUAUUUAUAUAACUAAAUAAAUUUAUUGAGUUCGGGUCUGGGAAUUUACCAGUGGCUGGAUUUUCUUCAGGAACAGAUCCUGAACAAGUGCACGGUUGGUACGAAGAGUAAGCUUUUUAGUUUUUUUUUGGUGCUUCACGUACCUGUUCUUAAUGCUAGUAUGUGUAAAAUGAAGGUAGACUUGAAACUGUGUCUCCAAACCAUUUAUAUUACUUGAGUGUAAUGGGAAGGAUGUUAGCAUCUCCCAGCACAGUUUCUAUAAAUUUUGAGAACUGGUUAAAUUUCAGGGAGAAAGUGUUAUAAUCUGUCGAUUCAAAGAAAUGUAUUAUAGGUGCUCUUAAAACUAUCACUUAAAACAAAUAAAAGAACAAUUAUUAGAAGUAUUCAUAUGUCCCUUUAUUUUGCUCUACAACUGCAUCAAAACUUAGACGUAACAAAUAAAGCAACCCAGAGGGGUGCUUCGUUAGAUACUUACAUGCAUAAAAAAAAUACUUAUGUUCUAAAUCGUGUUCAUCCACUUCUUCAUUAUACGAACCUGUAGUACUGCAUUCUGGUUGAAUUGUAGUGAAAUUACUAAGGACGAGGUAUGAGUAACGUCUUGAAACCUUUGCUGCUUACAUAGGGAUGUUCUAGUUGCCAAGAAAAUGCAGAUAAAUGAAGACAGACCUUGAACGAAUGAACGAAUCGAAAUAGUUCAUUUUAUGAAAUUUAAAUUACGGAAUCAAGACAUUUGCAGAAACUUUGCACAGAUAAGCGAAUAGUGAGCAUCGUCGGAUUUUGCUGCAUUGAUGCAACUUCACCUUAAUGGGGGUCGAAAUAGCUUCCAUACUUAGAUACACAGGGUUGUUAUAAAUGUUUCGUACAUCGUCGAUUUUGGAAAGCAUAAUACGGUGUUAUUUUUUUGACAUAACGAGUUUUUGAGUACAAAGAGUCCAUCUGACAACGAUACGUUUCUAAUUUUUUCUAAGUCAUAAAAUUUUUAAGCAUGUAAAGACUUCCAAUAAAGAACCGGAACGAUAACUUA